GAUGAACGCUGGCGGCGUGCCUAAUACAUGCAAGUCGAGCGAACAGAUGAGGAGCUUGCUCCUCUGACGUUAGCGGCGGACGGGUGAGUAACACGUGGAUAACCUACCUAUAAGACUGGGAUAACUUCGGGAAACCGGAGCUAAUACCGGAUAAUAUAUUGAACCGCAUGGUUCAUUAGUGAACGACGGUUUUGCUGUCACUUAUAGAUGGAUCCGCGCCGCAUUAGCUAGUUGGUAAGGUAACGGCUUACCAAGGCAACGAUGCGUAGCCGACCUGAGAGGGUGAUCGGCCACACUGGAACUGAGACACGGUCCAGACUCCUACGGGAGGCAGCAGUAGGGAAUCUUCCGCAAUGGGCGAAAGCCUGACGGAGCAACGCCGCGUGAGUGAUGAAGGUCUUCGGAUCGUAAAACUCUGUUAUUAGGGAAGAACAAAUGUGUAAGUAACUAUGCACGUCUUGACGGUACCUAAUCAGAAAGCCACGGCUAACUACGUG
rnacentral:rRNA from 1 species